rnacentral:rRNA from 1 species
UAAUAUAAUUAUUAUGAUUUUUAAAUAAAUAAAUUUUUAGUUUUAUUAUAAUUAUGAAAAAAUUUUAUUAAUUAUAAAAUAUUUGUAUAGUGAUAGAUAUUUUAAAAUAGGAAAAUCUAAAUUUUUUAAAGAAAAAUAUUUUUGUACCUUGUGUAUCAGGGUUUAUUAAUUAAAAUUUUUAUAAUUAAAGUUUCCCGAUUUUAAAAGAUCUAAUUAUUAAUUUAUUUUAUUGUUUAAUAAAUAUUUAAAAUUAAUAAUUAGUAAUGAAAUGUUAUUCGUUUUUAAUUAUAUCUGGUUUUUUAAGAAAAAAAUUUAAUUUUUUUUAUUGAAUUAUAAUAUUUUAUUAAAAAAUUAUUAUAUUAAAUAAAUAAAUAUUUUUAGGGAUGAGCUUAAAAGUAAAAAAUUUAUAAAUUAGAUAUUUAAUUAAAAUUUAUAGGAUUAGAAAUUUUUAUUUAUUAAUAUGUUAUAAUUAAUUUUAUUUUUUUAAAAUUUAUAUAUGAUUUUAAAUUUUUUAUUAAAAAAAUUUAUUUAAUUUAAAUUUGAAUUUUAUAAUGAUAAAAUUAGUAUAAAAAUUUGUUUAAAAAUUUAAUAAUUAAGGUUUAUUAAAGGAAUUCGGCAAAAUAUUUUUUGCCUGUUUAUUAAAAACAUGUCUUUUUGAUUAUAAUAUAAAGUCUAACCUGCCCAUUGAAUAUUUUAACGGCCGCAGUAUUUUGACUGUGCAAAGGUAGCAUAAUAAUUAGUUUUUUAAUUAAAAGCUGGUAUGAAUGGUUGAACAAAAAAAUAGCUGUCUCUAAUAAAAUUUUAUUAAAAUUUUAUAAUUAAGUUAAAAAGCUUAAAUAAAUUUAAAAGACGAGAAGACCCUAUAGAGUUUAAUAUUUUUAAUUAGAAUUUAUUUUUAGAUUUUUUAUUUAUUUUAAUAAAAAAAUAUUUUGUUGGGGUGAUAAAAAAAUUUAUAAAACUUUUUUUUAUAAAAACAUUUAUUUAUGAAUUAUUGAUCUAUUAUUAAUGAUUAAAAGAUUAAAUUACCUUAGGGAUAACAGCGUUAUUUUUUUUAAGAGUUCUAAUCGAAAAAAAAGUUUGCGACCUCGAUGUUGGAUUAAAAUAAAUUUUUGGUGUAGAAGCUAAGAAAAUUAAGUCUGUUCGACUUUUAAAAUUUUACAUGAUCUGAGUUUAAACCGGUGUGAGCCAGGUUGGUUUCUAUCUUUAAAUAAUAAAAUAUUUUAGUACGAAAGGACCAAAUAUU